rnacentral:rRNA from 1 species
ACUACGGGUGGCAGCAGUAGGGAAUCUUUCACAAUGGGCGAAAGCCUGAUGGAGCAACGCCGCGUGCAGGAUGAAGGCCUUCGGGUUGUAAACUGCUUUUAUAAGCGAGAAAUAUGAUGGUAACUUAUGAAUAAGGAUCGGCUAACUACGUGCCAGCAGCCGCGGUCAUACGUAGGAUCCGAGCAUUAUCCGGAGUGACUGGGUGUAAAGAGUUGCGUAGGUGGCAUAAUAAGUAGAUAGUGAAAUCCGGUGGCUCAACCAUUCAGACUAUUAGCUAAACUGUUAAGCUCGAGACCGUUAGGGGUAACUGGAAUUUCUAGUGUAGGAGUGAAAUCCGUAGAUAUUAGAAAGAACACCAAUAGCGUAGGCAGGUUACUGGGACGGUUCUGACACUAAGGCAUGAAAGCGUAGGUAGCAAACGGGAUUAGAUACCCCGGUAGUC